GGCGAUAUGGCCGAGCGGUCUAAGGCGCUGGAAUCAGGCUUUCACCUAUCCAGUCCGAAAGGGCGUGGGUUCGAAUCCCACUGUCGUCA
rnacentral:tRNA from 1 species